rnacentral:rRNA from 1 species
CUGCUGCCUCCCGUAGGAUCUGGUCCGUGUCUCAGUACCAGUGUGGGGGACCUUCCUCUCAGAACCCCUACGCAUCGUCGCCUCGGUGGGCCGUUACCCCCGCCGACUAGCUAAUGCGACGCAUGGCCAUCCUAUGCCGGAGUCGCCUCCUUUGACCCCAAGAAGAUGUCUCCUAAAGGUGUUAUGCGGUAUUAGACGGAAUUUCUUCCGCUUAUCCCCCUGCAUAGGGCAGGUUCCAUACGUGUUACUCACCCGUGCGCCGGUCG